rnacentral:tRNA from 1 species
CCUUCGAUAGCUCAGUUGGUAGAGCGGUGGACUGUAGUUGAUCGUUGAAUAGAUUUGGAAGCCAUCCAUAGGUCGCUGGUUCAAAUCCGGCUCGAAGGA